GAUGAACGCUGGCGGCGUGCCUAAUACAUGCAAGUCGAGCGAACAGACGAGGAGCUUGCUCCUCUGACGUUAGCGGCGGACGGGUGAGUAACACGUGGAUAACCUACCUAUAAGACUGGGAUAACUUCGGGAAACCGGAGCUAAUACCGGAUAAUAUAUUGAACCGCAUGGUUCAAUAGUGAAAGACGGUUUUGCUGUCACUUAUAGAUGGAUCCGCGCCGCAUUAGCUAGUUGGUAAGGUAACGGCUUACCAAGGCAACGAUGCGUAGCCGACCUGAGAGGGUGAUCGGCCUCACUGGAACUGAGACACGGUCCAGACUACUACGGGAGGCAGCAGUAGGGAAUCGUCCGCAGUGGGCGAAAGCCUGACGGAGCAACGCCGCGUGAGUGAUGAAGGUCUUCGGAUCGUAAAACUCUGUUAUUAGGGAAGAACAAAUGUGUAAGUAACUAUGCACGUCUUGACGGUACCUAAGCAGAAAGCCACGGCUAACUACGUG
rnacentral:rRNA from 1 species